GUCCGCAAGGAUGAGUACAGCGGCGCACGGGUGCGUAACACGUGGGUAAUCUGCCCUGAAGCCCGGAAUAACCUCCCGAAAGGGAAGCUAAUGCCGGAUAAGACCACGGGAGCCUCGGCUCCAGCGGGAAAAGGUGGCCUCUGUACACAAGCUAUCACUUCAGGAUGAGCCCGCGGCCCAUCAGCUCGUUGGCGGGGUAACGGCCCACCAAGGCUACGACGGGUAGCUGGUCUGAGAGGACGAUCAGCCACACUGGAACUGAGACACGGUCCAGACUCCUACGGGAGGCAGCAGUGGGGAAUCUUGCGCAAUGGGCGAAAGCCUGACGCAGCAACGCCGCGUGUGUGAUGAAGGUCUUCGGAUCGUAAAGCACUGUCGGGAGGAAAGAACAAGCCUGUGGCUAACAUCCACGGGCCUUGACGGUACCUCCAAAGGAAGCACCGGCUAACUCUGUGCCAGCAGCCGCGGUAAUACAGAGGGUGCAAGCGUUGUUCGGAAUUAUUGGGCGUAAAGCGCGUGUAGGCGGCCUAGCAAGUUGGGUGUGAAAGCCCUCGGCUCAACCGAGGAAGUGCGCCCAAAACUACAAGGCUUGAGUACCGGAGAGGAUGGCGGAAUACCCGGUGUAGAGGUGAAAUUCGUAGAUAUCGGGUGGAACACCAGUGGCGAAGGCGGCCAUCUGGACGGAUACUGACGCUGAGAUGCGAAAGCGUGGGGAGCAAACAGGAUUAGAUACCCUGGUAGUCCACGCCGUAAACGAUGAGCGCUAGGUGUUGUGGGUGUUGACCCCCGCAGUGCCGCAGCUAACGCAUUAAGCGCUCCGCCUGGGAAGUACGGCCCGCAGGCUAA
rnacentral:rRNA from 1 species